rnacentral:sRNA from 1 species
GCUGGGUGCUUUGACAUACACCUGUAAUCCCAGCAGCUUGGGAGGCUGAAGCAGGAGAAUCACAAAUUCAAGGUCAACUUUAGCAACUUAGCAAGGCCUAAGUAACUUAGACAGACCCUGUCUCAA